rnacentral:tRNA from 1 species
UCAGGAAGUAGUUUAUAAAAAUAUUAAUUUUGGAGAUUAAAGAUAAAGAGUUUUUUUUAUUCCUGAA